rnacentral:rRNA from 1 species
UGUUAAAUUUGAAUAAAGGAAACACAAGUAUCCAUUCCGAACACUAAAAUGUUAAGCUUUAUAUCGCCGAAAAUAGUGAUUUAUUCGCAAAAAUAGGUAUAGCGGAACU